UCUUAAAAAAAAAAGAUGAUGGAAGGAAGGCAAGUAAAGACAAAUAUGAGAACAGACAACAUUUUGAGACAUGGUGUUACAGAUGGGAAAAAGAUAUAUGGGCCAGUAGCUAGAAAGGGAUGUGGGGUCAAGAGAGGUUCCUCUUGAUUUUUCUUUUGCUGUAUGAGUUGAGAGAAAUGACACUGUUGUUAUGCUAAUGAGAAGUUCUAGAAAGGAAGACUCCAUGGAGAUUCUAUAGGAGAGGAACUGUUCUCUUCACAAGGCAUCCCCGGCACCUAGAACAUAGGCCUUCAAGAAAUGUUUGUUUAGUAAAUGACUCUGAAUUAACCAAACACAUCCCUAGCAAGAGUCAUCUUCACUUCAGGUGAAAAUAAAACACCAGAGUACUUUCUUAGGGCUGUAACUAGAACAGUGUAACCACACCCUGCUACGACAAAGCUUAUUAGAAAGGUCCGUGGAUGCAGUGGACAGAACCUGCCUCCUGAAACCUGCGUGAGACUUAAAUACGAAGGAUCCCUGGGUCAGAUGAGCGCACAGGUAUCAGUGAGCCAUGAUGCCACAGUUCCAGCCUCUUCAGAGGAUCUCACCGCACAUUCGCUGCUUUCCUCAAGAUGACCUAUGCGCGGAGGCUCUGGUUGCCGUGGAGCAGCACAACAGAGUGUUUAGAGCACAGAUUCUAGAACCACACUGCUUGGGUGCAAAUCCAAGGUCUCCUGCUUAUUGUCUUGGGCAAGUUAUUUAACUCCUCCAUGCCUCAGUUUCCUUGGCUAUAUUAUGAGAUCAAGAACAGUACCUAUUUCACAGGAUUGCGAUGAGGAUUAAUGAAGUGGUAUUUAUUCAUAAUUGGCUCGAGUGCAACGUUACAGUCUCCAAGGAGGCUGCCUGCCCUCUUGGCAGCAGGGUGAGUGCCAUGAUGCAGCUGCUGUUGGCAUGCUGAGAGCUGGAAGGGGAGAAACUAUAAGGCAAAACAAGAAGGGGCUGCAAAGAUUCAUGAGGUUCAAUCUGUAAAAUCUUCUCAGAGCUUCCGAAAAAAACAGUCCAAGAAUACAAGGCACAUAACACUUUUCAGUAAAGGCUUAGAAAAAUGAAGUCACUUCCCUGGAGCAACAGAAGGUUAGUGGCAUCCUGUGAACCUCACUCCUGGGUAUUUGAAAGCAAGGAAAUGCAGGUUUGAGAACAGACUACAUUUUUCCUGGAACAGAAGCCUCCCAAACCACCAUGAAAUCUAUUAAGGGGUGCCAAUUUUGCAAACCUGCUAACAAUUUGGAGACUUCCCGACUAAAGUAUGACUAUUGUAUUAAUAUGAGCAUCACCUAUAUUUGGCAUCUUUUCAAACCUCCUGCUUUUUAAGGCAACCCAUGCCUCGGAUAAGUAGAGAUAAAGUAAGUGUCCUAUGAAAGCAAAAUAUUGAAGCAUUAAAAUUUAGAAACCAACCUUAACCAAAACAGUCACAGAACCUAUUAGAAGAAUAUGAAACCAGGUACAAAACACAUCUCACACAUUCAAUUUUCACGCAAAGAAGGUAGCUAUAUGCUAAAGGAUAUUUCUAGGAAACGAGUUACAGUAAGAAGAGGUAAUGUCAAGCUCUGGCUGUCUAUGCCUUUAAAUUCUAACAUCUAUAAAUAAAAGACAUGUUCCUUUGAACAAUAGCCCGAACGGACAACACUGUCACUUUAUCUCCCCAGAUAACUAUCCAUUCUAUUCUGGCUUCAGCUGGUAUCUGCCUGCAUUACAUCAGCGUCCUGACGGGGGUGGGCUGGGGGGCAAAUGUGAGUCAGAAGCAUCAGGGGACAAGAGGUUAGAAGGCGAGAGAAGCAACAGCAUGGUUAAGGCAG